rnacentral:rRNA from 1 species
UACGUAGGGGGCAAGCGUUGUCCGGAAUCAUUGGGCGUAAAGAGCUCGUAGGCGGCCUGUUGCGUCCGCUGUGAAAGCCCGGGGCUUAACCCCGGGUCGGCAGUGGAUACGGGCAGGCUAGAGGUAGGUAGGGAGAAUGGAAUUCCCGGUGUAGCGGUGAAAUGCGCAGAUAUCGGGAGGAACACCGGUGGCGAAGGCGGUUCUCUGGGCCUUACCUGACGCUGAGGAGCGAAAGCGUGGGGAGCGAACAGG